GAUGAACGCUGGCGGCGUGCUUAACACAUGCAAGUCGAACGGGAAUUACUUUAUUGAAACUUCGGUCGAUUUAAUUUACUUCUAGUGGCGGACGGGUGAGUAACGCGUGGGUAACCUGCCUUAUACAGGGGGAUAACAGUCAGAAAUGGCUGCUAAUACCGCAUAAGCGCACAGAGCUGCAUGGCUCGGUGUGAAAAACUCCGGUGGUAUAAGAUGGACCCGCGUUGGAUUAGCUUGUUGGUGGGGUAACGGCCCACCAAGGCGACGAUCCAUAGCCGGCCUGAGAGGGUGAACGGCCACAUUGGGACUGAGACACGGCCCAGACUCCUACGGGAGGCAGCAGUGGGGAAUAUUGCACAAUGGGGGAAACCCUGAUGCAGCGACGCCGCGUGAAGGAAGAAGUAUCUCGGUAUGUAAACUUCUAUCAGCAGGGAAGAUAGUGACGGUACCUGACUAAGAAGCCCCGGCUAACUACGUG
rnacentral:rRNA from 1 species